rnacentral:piRNA from 1 species
GAGGCUGAAGCUGGAUAGGGAGGUCGG